rnacentral:rRNA from 1 species
UACAGAGGGUGCGAGCGUUGUCCGGAAUCACUGGGCGUAAAGGGCGCGUAGGCGGUCUCUUAAGCGUGUGGUGAAAGCCCGGGGCUCAACUCCGGGUCGGCCGUGCGAACUGGGGGACUGGAGCUUGUCAGAGGCAGGCGGAAUUCCGGGUGUAGCGGUGGAAUGCGUAGAGAUCCGGAAGAACACCGGUGGCGAAGGCGGCCUGCUGGGCAGUAGCUGACGCUGAGGCGCGACAGCGUGGGGAGCAAACAGG